GCAAGUGGGUGCAUAGAGAAUGCUAGUGUUUUCUAAAAGUCCUGAGAUUUUUGAGAUGCAUAUGGCAUCCUAUAUUCCUGUUCUAUUAAUAGAUGUGCCGUCUUAGUGAUUAUUUGACCUAAUCAUAUUUGUAACUUUUAAAAUAUUUCCCUUUCCCCUUCUAGUUUUGAAAAUGGGCUCAAAAUCUAUUUAAAUUCAUUAGUUAUGAAAAAGAGAGCUCUUUCUUCCCUUUCCUGUUAGGCGAGAGCUGCCGGAGGCAAGGGUCUCCGAUGCCGUUUCUUGUUCUCAUCAUGUAGACAAAACAGCCCUGCUGCAAAGAUGGUCAACGUACCUAAAACCGGAAGAACCUUCUGUAAGAAGUGUGGCAAGCAUCAGCCUCACAAAGUGACACAGUAUAAGAAGGGUAAGGAUUCUUUGUAUGCCUAGGGAA
ensembl:lncRNA novel transcript